rfam:Stegodyphus mimosarum contig114664, whole genome shotgun sequence.
GCCUUCGUGGUGUAGUGGUGAGCACACUCGACGCAUAACCGAGAGGUCCGUGGUUCGAUUCCAGGCGAAGGCU